rnacentral:rRNA from 1 species
GGACUACAAGGGUUUCUAAUCCUGUUUGAUCCCCUUGCUUUCGCGCCUCAGCGUCAGGUAUAAGCUAGAAAACCGCUUUCGCCACAGGUGUUCUUCCACAUAUCUACGCAUUUCACCGCUACACGUGGAAUUCCGUUUUCUCCGCCUACCCUCUAGAGUUGCAGUCUCAAUUGCCGUUCCGGGGUUGAGCCCCGGGAUUUCACAUUUGACUUACAUCCCCGCCUACGCGCCCUUUACGCCCAAUAAAUCCGAUUAAUGCUUGCACCCUCCGUAUUACCGCGGCUGCUGGCAC